ACAAGGGAGGUGAAAGGUGUUGUAGGUACUAUCCCAGAAGUAGAGAGAAGCCAAAAGCAUAUUUGGGCAGAUAUUGGGUCCUACUCUCGACAACUGAAUAAGGUCGAAAAUGCCUACUUCUUUCCAAAAAUCCCCUUUAACCUUUUCGAUUUUAUCUAGCCAAGAUAAGUAGUCAGAGGGGUCUUUCAACCAUGGACAGGUUCUAAAUAUCCUGUUGU
rnacentral:lncRNA from 1 species